rnacentral:SRP_RNA from 1 species
GGCGGGCCUCCCCGCAUGGUGAAGUCGUGAAUCGGGUCAGGUCCGGAAGGAAGCAGCCACAGCGAUGGAUAUCAGUGCCGGGGCUCUGGCUCGCCACU